rnacentral:rRNA from 1 species
AUGAACGCUGGCGGCGUGCCUAAUACAUGCAAGUCGAGCGAACGGACGAGAAGCUUGCUUUUCUGAUGUUAGCGGCGGACGGGUGAGUAACACGUGGAUAACCUACCUAUAAGACUGGGAUAACUUCGGGAAACCGGAGCUAAUACCGGAUAAUAUUUUGAACCGCAUGGUUCAAAAGUGAAAGACGGUCUUGCUGUCACUUAUAGAUGGAUCCGCGCUGCAUUAGCUAGUUGGUAAGGUAACGGCUUACCAAGGCAACGAUGCAUAGCCGACCUGAGAGGGUGAUCGGCCACACUGGAACUGAGACACGGUCCAGACUCCUACGGGAGGCAGCAGUAGGGAAUCUUCCGCAAUGGCCGAAAGCCUGACGGAGCAACGCCGCGUGAGUGAUGAAGGUCUUCGGAUCGUAAAACUCUGUUAUUAGGGAAGAACAUAUGUGUAAGUAACUGUGCACAUCUUGACGGUACCUAAUCAGAAAGCCACGGCUAACUACGUG